ACACGCAUGACACACUGCAUAUCAAUAAGCGGAGGAAAAGAAACUAACAAGGAUUCCCUUAGUAACGGCGGGCGAAGCGGGAAGAGCUCAAAUUUGAAAUCUUCAAGGUUUUACCUUGGCGAAUUGUAGUUUAAAGAAGUGUUUUCUGUUGAAGUUUUGGUAAAAGUUCUUUGGAAUAGGACAUCAUAGAGGGUGAGAAUCCCGUAUUUGACCAUUAUUUUCAGCUGUGUGAUACACUUUCAAAGAGUCGGAUUGUUUGGGAAUGCAGUCCAAAAUGGGUGGUAAAUUUCAUCUAAAGCUAAAUAUUGGCGAGAGACCGAUAGCGAACAAGUACCGUGAGGGAAAGAUGAAAAGAACUUUGAAAAGAGAGUUAAACAGUACGUGAAAUUGUCAAAAGGGAAGCGUUUGACACCAGUGUUGUUUUCUCGAAAAUCAAUUAAAAAAAGUUGGAUUUUGUGUUGUAUUGACCUUAACAGCUUUCUUCACUCUUUUCCUGCUUUUUUUAAUGCACUUUUCGUUUAACAAGUCAACAUCAGUUUCUUUUGUUGUAAAAAGGUCAUUGGAAGGUGGCUUUCUUUUCGGAGAAAGUGUUUAUAGCCUUUGAUCCCUGCAAUCGGAGAGACUGAGGUCUGCAGCGUAGAUCCUUCGGGGUUAGAUACAUUUGUGCUAAGUUAUAGCUUUUUAUAGACAACUUGUUGACUAUAUUUAGUCUUGUAGCUUACUCGCUUAUGCUAUUUUACCUACGCUUAGGAUGUUGAACUACUGAGACAUAGA
rnacentral:rRNA from 1 species